GUCUACAGCCAUACCACCCUGAAUGACCCAAUCUCUUCUGCUCUUGGAAGCUAAGUAGGGUCAGGCCUGGUUAGUACUUGGAUAGGAGGAAGAUCAUGAGAGGAGACU
rnacentral:rRNA from 1 species